rnacentral:lncRNA from 1 species
AUUUUUGACCGAAGCCCCGAGGUUCAGCGAUUUGUCAAAAUCGCCUAAUCCCCGUUGAGCAUCCACAAAGAAAUAAGCUCGAAUCCACUAGAACAAAAACACACCGGCCAAAUUACAGCAGUUUUCGAAUCACGGAAGGAACACACAGUUCCAGCCACCGCGACAACAAUCUCCUCUACGAUACAAAGAACUCACACGAGUUCAUAGCAUCACAUCUACUCUCAACCAACUAAAGGAAUCAACAAGAUUCAAGACGAGAGAGCCAACAAAUACACAGAGAGAUUUUUCAACUCAAAAUGAAAAAAAAA